rnacentral:lncRNA from 1 species
AGCCACACUGCUCUGCACUAGCAUGUGUGCGGCACGUCAAGGCUGGAUAAAUGAAACGUAAAACAAGUUAAUGAUGUGAAAAUGUUAUGCGCGUUUCUUCAAUCAUAUACACAGCUGAAGGAAGUAUGACUUCAUUUACCAUAAAAAAAAAACAUCCCACUUUUACUGGGAACAUAAAAGACUGCGGUUUGGAUCCCUGGAGAAGAGGUACUGUAAAAUGUCUUCGAUACUCUGUUGAGUUUCUCCAGCCAGCCGCUGGCAGGAGAUGAGAGACAGUAGGAGAACGGCGACACAGACCCAGAAGACCCUUUCUCCCGCCUGGGAGGUCAGUGGGUGCAGAGCCUGUGGCAGUUCCUGC